rnacentral:rRNA from 1 species
AAUAUUGGUCAAUGGGCGAAAGCCUGAACCAGCCAUGCCGCGUGAAGGAUUAAGGUCCUCUGGAUUGUAAACUUCUUUUAUCUGGGACGAAAAAAGGGAAUUCUUUCUCACUUGACGGUACCAGAUGAAUAAGCACCGGCUAACUCCGUGCCAGCAGCCGCGGUAAUACGUAGGUGGCAAGCGUUGUCCGGAUUUACUGGGCGUAAAGGGCGUGCAGGCGGUCUGUUAAGUUCAGGGUGAAAGCUCCCGGCUCAACUGGGAGAGGUCCUUGGAUACUGGCAGACUUGAGGGAGGUAGAGGAGAGUGGAAUUCCCGGUGUAGUGGUGAUAUGCGUAGAUAUCGGGAGGAACACCAGUGGCGAAGGCGGCUCUCUGGGCCUUUCCUGACGCUGAGACGCGAAAGCGUGGGGAGCGAACC